rnacentral:rRNA from 1 species
UGGGGAAUAUUGCACAAUGGGCGAAAGCCUGAUGCAGCGACGCCGCGUGAGGGAUGACGGCCUUCGGGUUGUAAACCUCUUUCAGCAGGGAAGAAGCGAAAGUGACGGUACCUGCAGAAGAAGCGCCGGCUAACUACGUGCCAGCAGCCGCGGUAAUACGUAGGGCGCGAGCGUUGUCCGGAAUUAUUGGGCGUAAAGAGCUCGUAGGCGGCUUGUCACGUCGGGUGUGAAGACCGGGGCUUAACCCGGUUCUGCAUUCGAUACGGGCUAGCUAGAGUGUGGUAGGGGAGAUCGGAAUUCCUGGUGUAGCGGUGAAAUGCGCAGAUAUCAGGAGGAACACCGGGUGGCGAAGGCGGAUCUCUGGGCCAUUACUGACGCUGAGGAGCGAAAGCGUGGGGAGCGAACAGGAUUAGAUACCCUGGUAGUCCACGCCGUAAACGGUGGGAACUAGGUGUUGGCGACAGUUCCACGUCGUCGGUGCCGCAGCUAACGCA